rnacentral:rRNA from 1 species
GACGAACGCUGGCGGCGCGCUUAACACAUGCAAGUCGAGCGAGAACCAGGGCUUCGGCCCUGGGGACAGCGGCGAACGGGUGAGUAACACGUGGAUAACCUGCCCUCGGCACCGGGAUAGCCCGGGGAAACCCGGAUUAAUACCGGAUGGCCCUUCCGGCUUUCGAGCCGGUCGGAAAAGGUAGCUUCGGCCUCCGGCCGAGGAUGGGUCCGCGGCGGAUUAGCUUGUUGGUGGGGUAACGGCCUACCAAGGCUCCGAUCCGUAGCUGGUCUGAGAGGACGAUCAGCCACACUGGGACUGAGACACGGCCCAGACUCCUACGGGAGGCAGCAGUGGGGAAUCUUCCGCAAUGGACGAAAGUCUGACGGAGCAACGCCGCGUGAGUGAAGAAGGUUUUCGGAUCGUAAAACUCUGUUGUUAGGGAAGAACAAGUACCAUAGUAACUGAUGGUACCUUGACGGUACCUAACCAGAAAGCCACGGCUAACUACGUGCCAGCAGCCGCAGUAACAC